UUUUCAGUGGCGCAGUGGUUAGCGUUGCCGUCUCACAGCCAGAAGGUUGUGGGUUUGAAUCCGGCCUGGGGAC